GAUGGACGCUGGCGGCGUGCAUAACACAUUCAAGUCGAACGGAGUUAAAGAAGCUUGCUUUUUUAACUUAGUGGCGGACGGGUGAGUAACGCGUGAGUAACCUGCCUAUACGAGUGGAAUAACACAGGGAAACUUGUGCUAAUACCGCAUAAUAUGUAAGCUUCGCAUGUAGUUUACAUCAAAGAGCAAUCGCGUAUAGAUGGACUCGCGUCUGAUUAGAUAGUUGGUGAGGUAACGGCUCACCAAGUCGACGAUCAGUAGCCGAACUGAGAGGGUGAACGGCCACAAGGGGACUGAGACACGGCCCUU
rnacentral:rRNA from 1 species